rnacentral:lncRNA from 1 species
CUGGAUCUAUGACAUGCACAUAAUCUAAAAAAUAAAAGAGAAAAUAUUGAGAUCAAAUUUUAAUAUCUUUGUGAGGGUCAAUCUACACUGCAGUCGAUGAUCGUGUAUCUGAAUGAGUUUCUUUAGCCGCGCAUGCGCUCAGCCUCCACAGGUAUCCAUAUGAUGACUCUUUCUGAUCAGAGGUAGGUAUCUUUACUGGG